rnacentral:rRNA from 1 species
GUAAGGAAUAUUGGACAAUGGCCGCAAGGCUGAUCCAGCCAUGCCGCGUGCAGGAUGAAGGUGCUCUGCAUUGUAAACUGCUUUUGUUUGGGAAUAAACCCCUCUACGUGUAGAGGGCUGAAUGUACCAAAAGAAUAAGGGACGGCUAACUUCGUGCCAGCAGCCGCGGUAAUACGAAGGUCCCAAGCGUUAUCCGGAUUUAUUGGGUUUAAAGGGUGCGUAGGCGGGUUAUUAAGUCAGUGGUGAAAGCCUUCAGCUUAACUGAAGAAUUGCCAUUGAUACUGAUGAUCUUGAGUAUGAUUGAGGUGGGCGGAAUGUGUCAUGUAGCGGUGAAAUGCUUAGAUAUGACACAGAACACCGAUUGCGAAGGCAGCUCACUAAGCCAUAACUGACGCUGAUGCACGAAAGCGUGGGGAGCAAACAGGAUUAGAAACCCCAGUAGUCC